UACGUAGGGUGCAAGCGUUGUCCGGAAUCAUUGGGCGUAAAGAGCGUGUAGGCGGUUCGGUAAGUCGGCUGUGAAAAUCCAGGGCUCAACCCUGGGAUGCCGGUCGAUACUGCCGGACUAGAGUUCGGAAGAGGCGAGUGGAAUUCCCGGUGUAGCGGUGAAAUGCGCAGAUAUCGGGAGGAACACCUAUGGCGAAGGCAGCUCGCUGGGACGUUACUGACGCUGAGACGCGAAAGCGUGGGGAGCAAACAGG
rnacentral:rRNA from 1 species